rnacentral:tRNA from 1 species
AAUGAAUUGUCAGAUUUAUGUAUUAAAUUUAGGUUUUAAUUAAGUGACUUUAUUCACAUUCAUUA